UCCUCAGGGCACUGACAACACUCCGUCAAAGCUCUCCCACAGGAAGGACUUCUGAUGGGCGUGGCUGGGUAACUCAUUCAUAGCACAGCACGAAGAUGAGAGGUGACCCUGCGUCUAUUGGAAUCAGAUUAGAGCAAAUUGCUCAUUAUUGUCAGGCGGAUGGAGACCUUGUGACAAAUGGGAGGACACUGGAGUUAGAAAUGACUGCCUGCAAGAAGACAGAUACUUGGGGAAAGAGAAUACAGACAGAAGGACGCAAAGGGAGAUCUACAGAGGCAAGUCCACAGUAAAGAAGAGAAGCAGAAAUCUGGAAACCUACAGAGAGAGACAACAGCCUGGAGGCCUUUGAUAGACUUUCCUCUUCACCUGGCCUGAAAGCAUUAGAGCAGCUGAGGUGAAGACUCGAAAGUGGGAACUAGAGAAGUCAUCUUGGACCAAAGCUGGAAGCCACAUGUUGAAGAUAGCAAAUUGCUGACAGAGUCCCUGAUAUUAUGGAGCUUCCUCGUCAGUCCUGGCCUGCCUUUGCUCAGAUUAUUGUGUGAGAAAGGCAUAAACUCUCUUAUGUAAGCCACCAGUAUUUUGACUUUGGUUCUAUCCUAUCUCUUACAGUGGCUUCUUUUUGUCACUCUUCCUGAUAAGAAUGCUGAACUCAUGAUGUGUUUGUACUGGAGUAGGAUCAGCUUUGGAAGACUACACUGGAGGAACAGAGAGGAACAGGCAUUUCCCAAAUCACUAAGACCAAGGAACACAUACACACAGGUAGUUAGGUGCAAUCUCCUGUCUCUCUUCUCACACAUUGGGCUGAGGUGGUUGAGAUUAAAGGCUUUGCUGUAAGAUACACCUGGGCUUGAGUCCUUAGUUUUCUUUGGAAUCUGUCUCUUUUGGGUCUGACUUCCUUGGCUGUGGCAGAUUGUUGGUGUAUUAGUCAGAGUUCUCCCCUUACUAGGGGAGAUAGAAGAAGAGAUUUAUUA